AUGACCACAGUCCCGGCUUACGGCACUGGCCUUACUUUUAGGACAGGGAAGCUGAGACAAAGUGGGGCGAUCAAAGAACUGGAAUUUGAACUGCGUCUGAGUGACUCGGAAGCCCCGGACGAGUGGCGCCCCCGAGCCGGCAAAACUCCACCUCGAUGGGCGUCCGAGUUGAUGCAAGCGGCCUUUCGUCGAAGGACCGGUGCCGGUUGCACCGCGCUUCCCUUCUCCCGCCCGGGUCACCACUCAGGGCGGUGGGAGCCGGUGCAGGCAACGCGCUUUGAUCGCGGAGCGCACCCUGCCGGAGGACUGCAAUCUUGCUCGCUCGCUUCCCUCCCCAUCCCCCAGUCUGUCUGGGACCACUCCACUUCUCCUUCUCGGUAGGUAAGUGGAGUUCCCUCUAUGCCUUAAAGAACAACAAAACCCCUGUGCCCAUCGCUUUCUUUCCGUUUGAAAAUGUCUCCCCUUGUCCAGGAACCCCACUGUCUCCCCCGCAGUUUACAAGCGGGUUCUCCAAGCUCGGUCUUUGCCCUGCCUACAUGCUACUCCGCCACCGGCACUCUUGCUCCACUGUUCUAGCAAAAGACGCCGGGAGGAAAGCGGGUUGAAGCGGGUUGAAUCCCGGUAGCAGACCUAUACAGCUACUUAAUGCCUCUGAGUAUGGAGGGGUCUGAUGAAUUUCAAAUGAAAUUAGCACUCGCCGAACCCUUUUCAAACCCCGUGUUUGGUGCUGGGAAGCUUCCUGUGGUUCAUCUCAACUGUAUUGUAUUUCACAACGCCCCAGCUUAAGUCGCAAACAGAACAUUGGCAUUCAAAAUGAUUGCGAAAGAGGAGUUCCCGUCGUGGCUCAGUGGUUAACAAAUCCGACAAGGAACCAUGAGGUUGCGGGAUCGAUCCUGGCCCCGUUUAGCCGGUUAAGGAUCCGGCGCUCGGUGAGCUGUGGUGUAGGAUCACAGAUGCGGCCGGGAUCCCACGUUGCUGUGGCCCCGCCGGCGGCUACAGCUCGGAUUCGACCCCUAGCCUGGGAACCUGCAUAUGUCGUGGGUGCGGCCCUAGAAAAGAAAAAAGGAUUACAAAGGAGUUCUCUUAUGGCUCAGCAGAAACGAACCCAACCAUCAUCCAUGAGGAUGCGCGUUCAAUGCCUGACCUCGCCCAGUGGGUUAAGGAUCUGGGGUUGCCAGUGAGCUGUGAUUUAGACUCCCGCUGUGUGUGUGUGUGUGUGUGUGUGUGUGUGUGUGUGUGUGUGGUGCAGACCAGCUUCCAUAUGCUGCGUGCGUGCACACACACACACACACACACACACACAAAAUGCUUGUAAAAUGACCAGUUUUUUUUUCAUGUAUACAGUAUGUACUUUACCCUGCUAGGUCCCCAAAAGGAAUUUAAGCCAAAGACACAUAAAAUGGAACACAGUGUAGGGAGUUCCCAUCCUGGCUCAGAGCUAAAGAAUCCCACCAGUAUCCAUGAGGAUGCAAGUUCAAACCCUGACCUCUCUCAGAUCUGGCAGUACCAUGAGCUGUGGUGUAGGUCCCAGAUCCGGCUCAUAUCCCAUGUUGCUGUGGCUGUGGUGUAGGCCGGUAGCUGUAGCUCCGAUUGAACCCCCAGCCUAGGACCUUCCAUAUGCCACAGGUGCAGCCUUAAAAAAGCAAAAAAAAAAAAGGCAAAAAAAAGGCAGAAGGCCAUGUAAAUAAAAGAAAAAUCAAUCAAACCA
rnacentral:lncRNA from 1 species